AAUAUACUUCCUCUGUUCGGAAUUACUUGUCUCGGAAAUGGAUGUAUCUAGAACUAAAAUACAUCUAGAUACAUCCAUUUCCACGACAAGUAAUUCCGAACGGAGGGAGUAGAUG
rnacentral:pre_miRNA from 1 species